GAUUUAGUGUUGAUAGGAACUAGUAUAAGAUUUGCUUUGUUUUUAGAGAGCUGGUGGUUGCUGAAAACCAGUCAAAGCUGUCUUAGAAUCCAUCCUGGAGCUAGCUAGUAGAACGUAUUGAGUAGAUAUGGAAACUAGUUCGGUAAGAGGCCGUUAUCUCUUUUAAGCUGGCAUUGUCUUCGUGAACAAUGCAAUUUGGGUGGCAACGCGGGUAUAAAAUAACUCGUCCCUUUU
rnacentral:ncRNA from 1 species